CUCCUACCGUUGUAGCAGGUCCGCCUGGCUACUCGAUAACACGGCCCCCUCCGGGGGGUGUCCCCUACCCUUGUGGAUUUAUACCUUUGUUGCUUUGGCAGGCCGCGUCUAGCCACCGGCGUUUGCUGGUGAGUGCCUGCCAGAGGCCCCAACUCUUGAUUUAAUGGCGUCUGAGUCCUAUAUAAUCGUUAAAACUUUCAACAACGGAUCUCUUGGUUCUGGCAUCGAUGAAGAACGCAGCGAAAUGCGAUAAGUAAUGUGAAUUGCAGAAUUCAGUGAAUCAUCGAAUCUUUGAACGCACAUUGCGCCCCGUGGCAUUCCGCGGGGCAUGCCUGUUCGAGCGUCAUUAUAACCCAAUCACGCAUGGCGUGGUCUUGGGGCUGGCAGCUCUGCCGCCCUCAAAGACAGUGGCAGCGCCGUAGGGCUCUUAGCGUAGUAAUACUCCUCGCUAUAGGGUCUCGCGGCCGCCCGCCAGCAACCCCAUCUUUCUCGGUUGACCUCGGAUCA
rnacentral:rRNA from 1 species